AAACAAUUAAAUUAAAUAACCUAUUAAAAAUUGAGAUCACCACCACCACCACCACCACCACCCCCCCCUAUCUCUACCUUCUCCCUUACACUGCCAGCCGCUAGAAACUCUAUGUCCGGCCACCGUCUCUAGACACCACCCUCACCAAACGAUGCCUCUCUUAACCCUGAUCAAAGCCCAAUUUGGUUUGGCGGCAAGAAACACCUCUAGCCACCCGAGCGCAGCUACCUUCCACUCUAGGAUCUGCCGAGCUCAAUCCGCUGUUUUCGGCCACCCCUAAGCCUCACGGCCACCAUGGGUGAGAUCAACCUCCCUUCCACUGCCAAAUCCCCAUGGUUUGAGCCUCCAACACCUAGAACAUUGGUUAUGAUGUACAUGUAUUUGAUUUGAGGAGUUUUGGUGAGCGUAGAGGAGCUAUGUAGUGGAGGAAAGCGAUGACGACAUGUCGGAGGAGGCUGAGCCAGAGCCGGUUUUGCGGCAGGAAAUGCCUCUUCUACUUUAGGAUCUACCGAGCUCGAUCCACCAUUUCCACUACCAAAUCCCCAUGGUCUGAGUCUCCAAUACCUUGAUUACCUCAGCUUUGCAGCGAGCUCCGCCAGCCUAAGCUACUAGCCUGGUAAAGUUUUAAGAAUAUACAUACAAAUGGCAGUUGCAUUCUAUGACAUCAACUCGGUUGCUAGCCUCAAGAAAUUGGCCAGUACUUCGCAACUACAUCACUGGGUAUCAGGCAUCAAAGGAUGAUAUCACUUGCAUGUUGCUCGUUCCAGUCCCCCAUCAUCUGAAUAUGUGAAUGCAUCUCGGUGGUACAAGCACAUUGCUGCCCUUUUAAGGAUUUCGGUGUUUUUCGAGAAGACUGGUGUCAGAAUUGAGGGAUAUGCUCCCAUCAACCAUCACAAGUGAAGCACGCAGUUGCCACACCUCCCGCUGGUGAUUCAAAGGCCUCUGCUGCUGAAGAUGACGAUGACAGUGAUGUGGAUCCCUUUGGUGAGGAGACCUAAGAGGAGAAGAAGGUUGCUGAAGAACUUGCAGCUGUUGUCAAGGCAUCUACCA